rnacentral:rRNA from 1 species
GGUAAGGCUGUACUGGCAGCGUGGGUAAUACAGAGGGUGGGGACGUUAAACGGUAUUAGUCGGCGGGAAGUUAGCGUAGGUGGAUGAUUAAGGCACAUGUGAAAUCCCUGGGCGUAACCUAGGAACUGCAUGUGGUACUGGUGGGCUAGAGUAUGUGAGAGGAAAGUAGAAUUCCAGGUGUAGCGGUGAAAUGCGUAGAUGUCGGGAGGAAUACCGAUGGCGAAGGCAGCUUUCUGGCAUAAUACUGACACUGAGACUCGAAAGCGUGGGUAGCAAACAGGAUUAGAUACCCGAGUAGUC